rnacentral:rRNA from 1 species
CAAGUCGAGCGAAUCGAUGGGAGCUUGCUCCCUGAGAUUAGCGGCGGACGGGUGAGUAACACGUGGGUAACCUGCCUGUAAGAUUGGGAUAACUCCGGGAAACCGGAGCUAAUACCGGAUAACAUUUUGAACCGCAUGGUUCAAAAUUGAAAGAUGGUCUCGGCUAUCACUUACAGAUGGACCCGCGGCGCAUUAGCUAGUUGGUGAGGUAACGGCUCACCAAGGCAACGAUGCGUAGCCGACCUGAGAGGGUGAUCGGCCACACUGGGACUGAGACACGGCCCAGACUCCUACGGGAGGCAGCAGUAGGGAAUCUUCCGCAAUGGACGAAAGUCUGACGGAGCAACGCCGCGUGAACGAUGAAGGCCUUCGGGUCGUAAAGUUCUGUUGUUAGGGAAGAACAAGUACCAGAGUAACUGCUGGUACCUUGACGGUACCUAACCAGAAAGCCACGGCUAACUACGUGCCAGCAGCCGCGGUAAUACGUAGGUGGCAAGCGUUGUCCGGAAUUAUUGGGCGUAAAGCGCGCGCAGGUGGUUUCUUAAGUCUGAUGUGAAAGCCCACGGCUCAACCGUGGAGGGUCAUUGGAAACUGGGGAACUUGAGUGCAGAAGAGGAAAGUGGAAUUCCAAGUGUAGCGGUGAAAUGCGUAGAGAUUUGGAGGAACACCAGUGGCGAAGGCGACUUUCUGGUCUGUAACUGACACUGAGGCGCGAAAGCGUGGGGAGCGAACAGGAUUAGAUACCCUGGUAGUCCACGCCGUAAACGAUGAGUGCUAAGUGUUAGAGGGUUUCCGCCCUUUAGUGCUGCAGCUAACGCAUUAAGCACUCCGCCUGGGGAGUACGGUC